rnacentral:lncRNA from 1 species
GAAGCCAUUUGCUUCAGAGUGGGAUGGAGCAUGUUUUGUUUCAUUGAUAUGAAGUAUCUAAUUCUUAUAUAUGUGCGAGAAUGCAGAAUUAUGUAUGUGAGAGGUGCAAGUCCACAUAGAGUCUGUGAUGAAUAAUACUCCAUAGACAUGAGAUUUAAAUGAGACUUCACGCGGUUUUGAAUUACUAAAUCUACCUAAGAGGACAAAUUAGCUAUCCUUGAGCCUGAAGGUGAUGGUUUCAAUUGGUAUAAGGUGGAAUUGGCCAACCGUGAAUUUUACUUUUGGAAUUAAGGGAAGAUUCCUUACUUGGUUUGCACCGGGUCAAGAGUCAAUCUGUUUCAGAAGAGAGCCUGAAGGAUGCACCA